CAGCCGCCGCGGGAAUACGGAGGGGGCAAGCGUUAUCCGGAAUUACUGGGUGUAAAGGGAGCGUAGACGGUUAAACAAGUCUGAAGUGAAAUGCCGGGGCUCAACCCCGGAGCUGCUUUUGGAACUGUAGAACUGGAGUGUCGGAGGGGUAAGCGGAAUUCCCAGUGUAGCGGUGAAAUGCGUAGAUAUUGGGAGGAACACCGGCGGCGAAGGCGGCUUACUGGACGACAACUGAUGUUGAGGCUCGAAGGCGUGGGUAGCAAACAGGAUUAGAUACCCCGGUAGUCCCUGUCUCUUAUAC
rnacentral:rRNA from 1 species